GACAGGCUUAGCUAUGACUAAAAGUGUUGCUGGGUGUAAGACUAUGGAGGAUACAUCUGUAUUCAACUUAGGGCAAGAGAGCAUCAAGCUUCAGGAAGGAGAGAUUAUGAUUGUUUUACUUGCUUUCAGAUAAUGGAUUCUCUCACUUCUUUUCUUUUCUUUUCUUUUCCUUUUCUUUCUCUCUCUCUCUCUCUCUGUCACAUCUAUAUAGAUAUCCAUUCAUAUAUCCAUACAGGAAAGAAGGAAGGAAGGAAGGAAGGAAGGAAGGAAGGAAGGAAGGAAGGAAGGAAUGAAGGAAGGAAGGAAGAUACCCCAAGUAUAAAUGGAUUCAAGCUACUUGGAAUUUGUCCAUAUGGAAUCAUCUUCCAGGGGAGGAUUUAAAUGGCUAAGGAAAAAGAGUCAAAAUCUCAACUUUGAGUUCUAUUCAUAAAGACAAAUAACUUUAAAAAACAAGAAAAGAAGUACAAAGGAUACAGAGAGAAAACUGUUUGAAAAUGAAAAAUUAAAAGCCCUAAGGAUGUAAAGCACAG
rnacentral:lncRNA from 1 species